AGCAGCCGCGGUAAUUCCAGCUCCAAUAGCGUAUAUUAAAGUUGUUGCAGUUAAAAAGCUCGUAGUUGAAUUUCGGGAUCAAUAUUUCGGUCAUGCCGUUGGUAUGCACUGUUAUCAUUGAUUUCUCACCUUCUAAAGAACCGUAAUGCCAUUAAUUUGGUGUUACGGGGAAUUAGGACUGUUACCUUGAAAAAUUAGAGUGUUUAAAGCAGGCUCACGCUUGAAUACAUUAGCAUGGAAUAAUGAAAUAGGACAUCCGAUUCUAUUUUGUUGGUUUCUAGGAUCGAUGUAAUGAUUAAUAGGGAUAGUUGGGGGCAUUAGUAUUCAAUUGUCAGAGGUGAAAUUCUUGGAUUUAUUGAAGACUAACUACUGCGAAAGCAUUUGCCAAGGAUGUUUUCAUUAAUCAAGAACGAAAGUUAGGGGAUCGAAGACGAUCAGAUACCGUCGUAGUCUUAACCAUAAACUAUGCCGACUAGGGAUCGGAUGAUGUUAAUUUUUAAUGACUCAUUC
rnacentral:rRNA from 1 species